AACGAACGCUGGCGGCAUGCCUAACACAUGCAAGUCGAACGAAGCCUUCGGGCUUAGUGGCGCACGGGUGCGUAACGCGUGGGAAUCUGCCCUUGGGUUCGGAAUAACAGUUAGAAAUGACUGCUAAUACCGGAUGAUGACGUAAGUCCAAAGAUUUAUCGCCCAGGGAUGAGCCCGCGUAGGAUUAGGUAGUUGGUGAGGUAAAGGCUCACCAAGCCGACGAUCCUUAGCUGGUCUGAGAGGAUGAUCAGCCACACUGGGACUGAGACACGGCCCAGACUCCUACGGGAGGCAGCAGUGGGGAAUAUUGGACAAUGGGCGAAAGCCUGAUCCGGCAAUGCCGCGUGAGUGAUGAAGGCCUUAGGGUUGUAAAGCUCUUUUACCCGGGAUGAUAAUGACAGUACCGGGAGAAUAAGCUCCGGCUAACUCCGUGCCAGCCGCCGCCGUAACAC
rnacentral:rRNA from 1 species